UCGAACCGUCGACGAGAGUUGUAGCUGGCCUCNCNSUAUGGGGGSAUGUGCACGCUCCGUUUACAUAUAUCCACUCACMCCUGUGCACCCUCUGUAGUUCUAUGGCCCAGGGGGCUCUGYCCCCGUCGUAGUCCUGCGUCUUUACAUACACACCGCAAUGAAGUCUCAUGGGAUGUACGUCGCGUUUAACGCAAUGAAAUACAACUUUCAGCAACGGAUCUCUUGGCUCUCGCAUCGAUGAAGAACGCAGCGAAAUGCGAUAAGUAAUGUGAAUUGCAGAAUUCAGUGAAUCAUCGAAUCUUUGAACGCACCUUGCGCCCUUUGGAUAUUCCGAAGGGCAUGCCUGUUUGAGUAUCGUGAACAUCUCAACUCUCAUGGCUUUUGCCAUGAUGAGCUUGGACUUUGGGGGUCUUGCUGGCCUAUGGUCGGCUCCCCUCAAAUGGAUCAGCUUGCCGGUGUUUGGCGGUGGCGCAGGUGUGAUAACUAUCUACGCUUGUGGCUUUCCGUCAGGUAACCUUCCACACGGGGGGUUUGNUGGGGCUCAUAGAUGUCUCCCUUUGGUGGGGACAGNUUUUGACCG
rnacentral:sRNA from 1 species